rnacentral:rRNA from 1 species
ACACCGGCAGCUCAAGUGGUAGCCGCUUUUAUUGGGCCUAAAGCGUCCGUAGCCGGUCUGAUAAGUCUCUGGUGAAAUCCCACAGCUUAACUGUGGGAAUUGCUGGAGAUACUAUCAUGACUCGAGGUCGGGAGAGGCUGGAGGUACUCCCAGGGUAGGGGUGAAAUCCUGUAAUCCUGGGAGGACCACCUGUGGCGAAGGCGUCCAGCUGGGACGAACCUGACGGUGAGGGACGAAAGCCAGGGGCGCGAACCGGAUUAGAAACCCGGGUAGUCCUGGCCGUAAACGAUGUGGACUUGGUGUUGGGAUGGCUUCGAGCUGCCCCAGUGCCGAAGGGAAGCUGUUAAGUCCACCGCCUGGGAAGUACGGCCGCAAGGCUGAAACUUAAAUGAAUUGGCGGGG